rnacentral:rRNA from 1 species
CUUGCUUCUCUUGAGAGCGGCGGACGGGUGAGUAAUGCCUAGGAAUCUGCCUGGUAGUGGGGGAUAACGUCCGGAAACGGACGCUAAUACCGCAUACGUCCUACGGGAGAAAGCAGGGGACCUUCGGGCCUUGCGCUAUCAGAUGAGCCUAGGUCGGAUUAGCUAGUUGGUGGGGUAAUGGCUCACCAAGGCGACGAUCCGUAACUGGUCUGAGAGGAUGAUCAGUCACACUGGAACUGAGACACGGUCCAGACUCCUACGGGAGGCAGCAGUGGGGAAUAUUGGACAAUGGGCGAAAGCCUGAUCCAGCCAUGCCGCGUGUGUGAAGAAGGUCUUCGGAUUGUAAAGCACUUUAAGUUGGGAGGAAGGGCAGUAAAUUAAUACUUUGCUGUUUUGACGUUACCGACAGAAUAAGCACCGGCUAACUCUGUGCCAGCAGCCGCGGUAAUACAGAGGGUGCAAGCGUUAAUCGGAAUUACUGGGCGUAAAGCGCGCGUAGGUGGUUCGUUAAGUUGGAUGUGAAAUCCCCGGGCUCAACCUGGGAACUGCAUUCAAAACUGACGAGCUAGAGUAUGGUAGAGGGUGGUGGAAUUUCCUGUGUAGCGGUGAAAUGCGUAGAUAUAGGAAGGAACACCAGUGGCGAAAGCGACCACCUGGACUGAUACUGACACUGAGUGCGAAAGCGUGGGGAGCAAACAGGAUUAGAUACCCUG